GAUGAACGCUGGCGGCGUGCCUAAUACAUGCAAGUCGAGCGAACGGACGAGAAGCUUGCUUCUCUGAUGUUAGCGGCGGACGGGUGAGUAACACGUGGAUAACCUACCUAUAAGACUGGGAUAACUUCGGGAAACCGGAGCUAAUACCGGAUAAUAUUUUGAACCGCAUGGUUCAAAAGUGAAAGACGGUCUUGCUGUCACUUAUAGAUGGAUCCGCGCUGCAUUAGCUAGUUGGUAGGGUAACGGCUUACCAAGGCAACGAUGCAUAGCCGACCUGAGAGGGUGAUCGGCCACACUGGAACUGAGACACGGUCCAGACUCCUAAGGGAGGCAGCAGUAGGGAAUCUUCCGCAAUGGGCGGAAGCCUGACGGAGCAACGCCGCGUGAGUGAUGAAGGUCUUCGGAUCGUAAAACUCUGUUAUUAGGGAAGAACAUAUGUGUAAGUAACUGUGCACAUCUUGACGGUACCUAAUCAGAAAGCCACGGCUAACUACGUG
rnacentral:rRNA from 1 species